rnacentral:rRNA from 1 species
AACGAACGCUGGCGGCAUGCCUAACACAUGCAAGUCGAACGAGACCUUCGGGUCUAGUGGCGCACGGGUGCGUAACGCGUGGGAACCUGCCCUUAGGUUCGGAAUAACUCCCCGAAAGGGGUGCUAAUACCGGAUAAUGUCUUCGGACCAAAGAUUUAUCGCCUUUGGAUGGGCCCGCGUUGGAUUAGCUAGUUGGUAGGGUAAAAGCCUACCAAGGCGACGAUCCAUAGCUGGUCUGAGAGGAUGAUCAGCCACACUGGGACUGAGACACGGCCCAGACUCCUACGGGAAGCAGCAGUGGAGAAUAUUGGACAAUGGGCGAAAGCCUGAUCCAGCAAUGCCGCGUGAGUGAUGAAGGCCUUAGGGUUGUAAAGCUCUUUUACCCGGGAUGAUAAUGACAGUACCGGGAGAAUAAGCUCCGGCUAACUCCGUG